rnacentral:rRNA from 1 species
AUGAACAAGAAUGCUAGUUCUGGACCGGACGGCUUCGGCCCUGGGUUCUACCGCAAAUAUUGGCACAUCCUCAAAGGGAAGAUAACUCAAUUCCUUUCAGACUUUCAUGCCCAAAACAGCGAUAUCUCUUGCCUUAACCGGUCCCUCAUAAUCCUCCUUCCAAAGCAUAAUGAUGCUCACUCCCCCGCUGACUUCUGCCCCAUCUCUCUUCAAAACUGUCCUAUCAAAGGAGUCGCCAAACUUCUAACCAACAGGUUAAAACCCCUUAUCCCCCUCUUGGUGCAUGCUGACCAAACCGGUUUUUUGUCCGGUCGUAACAUCUCUAAGAACUUCCUCUACGUUAUAGAUAUCCUACACUGUUGUGCUAAAAGGAAAGCCCCCUCCCUCAUCAUCAAAUUAGACUUCCGAAAAGCUUUUGACUCUGUUUGCUGGACGACCCUCCUCCAUACCCUUCAGGUUAGAGGUUUCCCCCCUCGGUGGUGCGACUGGAUUAACUCUCUCCUUACCACUGGAUCCACUGCCGUUAUGCUAAAUGGCAUCCCUGGGAGGUGGAUUCAAUGCAAAAAUGGCCUCCAGAAGGGCGACCCUCUCUCCCCU